CGAGCGGCAGCUGUCAGGCCACCGAGGUCCAAGCCGCACUUGCUGCCCCAUUGAGGACGAGGAGGCAGCAGGAGCAGUGACGGUGACUCUAAGGAGCCGGAUUCCCGGCACGCAGAGCUGACCUGCCUGGCACCCGCGGCCCUCUCCUGUUUCCUUCCCAUUGUGUUGGCGUUGCGCUCAGGCCCUUGCCGCAGAUGGUGGUCUUGUAGUCGCCAAAGAUCUGCCUGACUGCGCCGGUGGUGUAGAAGCCCUCAGCCAGCAGGAGGGCCCCAUAAAGGAAGAAGAAAGAGGCAGUUCCAUAGAUGACAUACUGGAAGGCAUGGAUCACAUUGAUGAGAUACUCAUAGUCUUGGUAGUUUUUGGAGAAAUAGGUCUCAAUUAGCUUUUCUGUGCCAGUGAGGGCUUCAUGUCCACAGCCACAGAACAGUGCCACCCCAAAGAAACACAAUCCAGUGGCCACCAGGGAAGCAAAGGGGGCCCCUACCAGACAUCUUGCACAGCACUCUAACAAGCCCAUGUCUUUGGGACUCUGACUCCAAUUGUAGCCGGCUGGCUAGUCUGCUUUGUGGCUGACUUUGUUCAGCUGGAAGGAUCCUGGUCUCUCCAGCCUCCUUCUUCGGUCUUUUACUUUUUCUCUCUGAGUAUCUUUGUCCUCUUCUCCUGGAAUUUCGCUUUGCUGCAGAGACAUCUGGAAAUGUGGAUUGAGGGUGGAAAUAAAAUGAAGAUGUCCUG
rnacentral:lncRNA from 1 species